UGAACCUGCGGAAGGAUCAUUACCGAGUGCGGGCCCGCUCUGGGCCCAACCUCCCACCCGUGUCUCUUGCGUACUUUGUUGCUUUGGCGGGCCCACUGGGUCACUCCGGUCGCCGGGGGGCGCUAUGCUCCCGGGCCCGUGCCCGCCAGAGCACCCCUGUGAACCCUGAUGAAGAGAGGCUGUCUGAGUCCCACGAUAAUCGUUAAAACUUUCAACAAUGGAUCUCUUGGUUCCGGCAUCGAUGAAGAACGCAGCGAAAUGCGAUAAGUAAUGUGAAUUGCAGAAUUCCGUGAAUCAUCGAAUCUUUGAACGCACAUUGCGCCCCCUGGCAUUCCGGGGGGCAUGCCUGUCCGAGCGUCAUUUCUGCCCUCAAGCGCGGCUUGUGUGUUGGGCGUGGUCCCCCUGUCUUUGGCGGGGACCUGCCCGAAAGGCAGCGGCGACGUCCCGCCUAGUCCUCGAGCGUAUGGGGCUCUGUCACGCGCUCGGGAGGGACUGGUGGGCGUUGGUCACCCCUUAUUCUUUCUACGGUUGACCUCGGAUCAGGUAGGAGUUACCCGCUGAACUUAAGCAUAUCAAU
rnacentral:rRNA from 1 species